CUCUCAACCCUCGUACACCCGAUUUCUCCCUCACAGGAAGUUCUUUCUUAUAAAGCUCUCUCUCUUGAACGACCGCCUUGAACUCCUGAAGUAACCACUAUCCACUAUCCAAGAGCUUCUCUACUCCUUCUCUUACAGCAUUUUAGCCUUCUCUCUCUCUCUCCACAGGUUCUCUGAUCUUACUGUGCUUCGGCUUGAUGAAAAUCAUGCUGCACAAAGCCACCACGACACCACCAGGCCACACGCUGAACCACCACCUUACUGUUCACUGUACAGGCCCUUUUAAAGGGCUAAAACCCUAUUAGAUGGUGUUUAGGACUCCUUAUUAAGCUCAAACAAAGCCC
rnacentral:lncRNA from 1 species